GUUUGCAUUUUCUGCUUACUUUACCUGGACUUAGUUCUGCCACUAGAGUCUAAACUGACUGGGAGCUGGACUGGGAGCUGGAGCCGGGACUUGACUCAGGGUUUUUUUUGUUUUUUAAGAUUGUAUUUAUUUAUUUGACAGAGAGAGACACAGUGAGAGAGGGAACACAAGCAGGGCGAGCAGGUGGGCAGACGGGCCCAGUGCCCAAGCAUUUUCCGGUCUCUACUGCUGUCACAUGUGCAGCUGUUCUGUGAGCCAAAGCAAGUGUCACUCCGAGUGGAGAAAUAGGCUCCACCCCUUAGUGGGAGGGGCUGAAGUCACGUGGCAAGGGGUGUGCGGACAGGGACAGGAGAAUCCCCGGUUGUAUUGGCCAACUACCACCCUAAAGCCCCGAGUUUCGAGUUUCGAGUUUCCUAUUCCUCUGACUGAACUCUCCCUGGAACCUGGGGAGAUUCUAAGAUAUUUUGACACGACGGAAUCUCACCUGCUCCUUCAGGCACGUCCCUCCUCUUUGAGGAGGUCGGCACCCUCCCUCCUUCCGGACUUCCCGUGA
rnacentral:lncRNA from 1 species